CCAGCCAUGCCGCGUGAGUGAAGAAGGCCUUCGGGUUGUAAAGACUCUUUCUAGCCGGAAAGAAAACGACGCAGGUUAAUAACCUGUGCGGAUGACGGUACCGGAAGAAGAAGCACCGGCUAACUACGUGCCAGCAGCCGCGGUAAUACGUAGGGUGCGAGCGUUAAUCGGAAUUACUGGGCGUAAAGCGUGCGCAGGCGGUUUUGUAAGACAGAUGUGAAAUCCCCGGGCUUAACCCUGGGGAACUGCAUUUUGUAACUGCAAGGCUAGAGUACGGCAGAGGGGGGGUAGAAUUCCACGUGUAGCAGUGAAAUGCGUAGAUAUGUGGGAGGAAUACCGAUGGCGAAGGCAGCCCCCUGGGUCGAUACUGACGCUCAUGCACGAAAGCGUGGGGAGCAAAACAGGAUUAGAUACCCUGGUAGUCCACGCCCUAAAACGAU
rnacentral:rRNA from 1 species